rnacentral:rRNA from 1 species
AUGAUCGGUGAAAUGGAUGAGGACAGCGUUGUAGGAUACUUUAGGAACAAGAGCAUCCUCAUUACUGGUUCAACUGGGUUCCUAGGAAAAGGUUACAGCGAAGGAGAUCUUUCAACUGCUGAAAAAAAAACAUGGUGUGGGGUUCGAAAAUUUUAUCGAAGAAAAGAUCUGUCCUUUGGCAGGAGAUAUCAUGAGGACUUUGGACUAGAUAGUGCCCAGCUGAGAGCUUUGUGCAAGGACAUAGACAUCAUCGUUAACGGUGCUGCAACUACGAAUUUCUCUGAAAGAUAUGACGCGGCUUUCGACGUGAAUGUCUUGGGAGCGAAGAACGUCUGCGCAUUCGCAAACAAGUGUACUAAGCUCAAGAUGUUACUUCAUGUUUCAACUGCCUACGUAGCUGGUGAACAAGAGGGGUUAAUACCAGAGAAGCCAUUCUUGAUGGAGAAAGCUGAGAAGAAAACAAUGAAAGAGCUUGGCCUCAAGAGGGCACGACACUUUGGGUGGCCAAACACCUAUGUCUUCACAAAGGCAAUGGGGGAGAUGAUUAUGGGACACCUGCGGGGGCGCUUUCUGGUGGUCAUCAUCCGCCCGAGCAUCAUAACGAGUACACUCAAGGAGCCAUUUCCUGGAUGGAUGGAAGGAAUCAGAACAAUUGACUUGGUGAUGAUCGGCUAUGCCAAGCAGAUCUUGCCAUUCUUCAUCGGCGACCUUGAUUUAAUAAUAGACGUGAUUCCGGGGGACAUUGUGGUGAACGCUAUGAUGGUUGCCAUGGCAGCACAAUUAAAGGAUCAACAACCGCAGAUCAUCUACCAUGUAACUUCCUCUUUACGCAACCCAGCACCCUCCGCCCUUGUUGUGGAAUCAAUGCACUGUUACUUCUUCGAAAAUCCGUUGUGCAAAGGAAGGAAUGGCGAGCAUGUCCGGAUGAAGAAGAUGAGGUUCUUCAGCACGCUCGCACAGUUGAGAUUUUACACCGCCCUCGUGUACAAGCUUCCGCUCCAGAUGCUUGGCCUGCUGAACAUUGCCCUUUGUGGUGUUUUCUCACGGUACUACAACAAGCUUAGCAGAAAAUACAUAUUCUUCAUGCAUAUGGUCGAGCUCUACGCACCAUUACGCUUUGAUGACACAAACUUGGAGAGGCUAAGGAUGGCAAUGAACACGGAUCAAAAUAACAAUGGGUCCUAUUACUUGGACUUUGACCCCAAGUCCGUUGACUGGGACGACUAUUUCUACCGUGUUCACAUCCCCGGUGUGGUCAAGUAUACAUGUCAUUGA